GACGAACGCUGGCGGCGUGCUUAACACAUGCAAGUCGAACGGAAAGGCCCUGCUCUUGUUGGGUGCACGAGUGGCGAACGGGUGUGUAAAACGUGAGUAACCUGUCCCUGACUUUGGGAUAACACCUGGAAACUGGGGAUCAUACCGGAUAGGAGCUCCUGAUGCAUGGUGGGGGAUGGUAAGAUUCGGCGGUUUGGGCUGGACUCGAGGGUUAUCCGCUGGUUGGUGGGGUAGGGGCUUACAAAGGCUUUGAAGGGUAGCCGGCAUUGGAGGGUGACCGGCCUCAUUGGGACUAAGGUACGGCCCAGACGCCUACGGGAGGCAGCAGUGGGAAAUAUGGCGCAAUGGGCGGAAGCCAGAUGCAGCAACGCCGCGUGCGGGAUAGCGGCCUUCGAGUGGAAAACCACUUUCGCCUUUAACGAAGCGGUAUUGACGGUAAUGAGUAAGAAAGCACCGGCUAACUACGUG
rnacentral:rRNA from 1 species